CCGACUCCAAGCGGUCGUCUCGCAUCGCCACCGCGAGGCGGAAUUCCCCGGUCGCCAUCGCCGGCGGCCGCCAAAUGGCCGAAACCCAGUUCGUGGAAGCCGUUUCUGGGCUCGCUCGUGAUCUGCUUCGAAGUCUCUGCGUAAAACAGAGUGCAAAGGAAGCUACAUCGGUGAUGUUAGCCCCGGAGAUUUUGGUGACAGAUGGGAGUUUUUAUUAGCUGUAUUCUGAGAUCCACAAGGAUGGUAUACCUUCUCUAUAAUGGAAAGGAAAUUCGAGGAAGAGGAUGAAGCGCUUACUAAAUCAAUAGUAUUCCAUACAUCCAAAGAUUUUGUCUGUAGGAUCAAAGAUGAAGAUCCAGAGGAUGAGGAAAAUCGGACUCAACCUUCUGCUAGUGACGACGAAUAAUUGAACACUCUCAAGAAGAGGAAAUUUUCUGAGGAAUUUCUGGACAAGCCGACAGAUUCCAUGACAAAAGCUACAUCCAGUGACAUCUUGAAUGACAGAGGCAUUGCAAGUUUCUUGAACAUGUUUUCUUCAAUUACGUUAGCUCUUCUGAAUGAUGGAUGUGUUGAGACAGAUCAGCCGGGCACUUCCCUUUUCCUGCAAGCUCUUUGGAUUUUAUUAAAAUGAAGACUCCCUUCAUGGAAGUAGGCUCAUAUAAAGUAACUUUUUACAUGUGGCGCUGGUUGUUUCUGCAAGUUUUCUGGUUACAGUUCCGUGUCUUUCCAUCAUGUCUGCAGUUCGAGUAAAUUGUUGUCCACUUCUUCCUCUGUGCGAAUUGCUGUGGUAAAGAAAGCUGGUCCAACUUCCAGCCCGAGCAUUGCACUCCAGUCUUUGUGUCAAUAUGAAAGUAGUGAUGAUGAGGAUUGAACCAUUGGAUACCAUUUGUCUUCUUGAUACAGUAGCAGUUUUUUCU